UUGUCCCAUAAAAGGUGGCGAUCGCUCCGAUCAUCAGCACAGUUUUCUUUUUGUCAUUUGAAUAAGAGGCAUAUACCCUACACUUAAGUUAAACGUUUUUGAGUUUUGAGCAAUCGUCGUUCUGAAAAGUUGUUGAACAAAAAAAAGUCGAAAAAUGAAGCAAUCCACAACAACAAUCAUCCUUUUAUUGGUUUUGAUCCUUGGAACCGUUCACGCUAAGGAAAUAUGUAAAUGCACCAGAUUAGGCAUGAAUACCAGAGCUGCCGGACAAGCAACUGCAGCUUGUGGAGUCAGUCAUUACUGCUACAAAUACGCUACGAUUCUUCAUUGUGAAACGCUAGGCGCCAGGGCCACAUUCGAACAAUGUUGCAGUAACACGAGAAACAUGGGAUCAACAUGUCGUGACAUUUAAUUGAGAUUUUUAAAAUUCCAAGAAUAAAUCGUCACUUAACCGAAGUUUGGUUAUUCGUUUUUAUGGUCUUCUCAACAGUUAGAACUACUUUUAGUGUAGUAUCAAACUCCAUAAUGGAGUUAUAGCGGAGUUAUUGACGAAAAUGUGAAUUUUGUUUUUCAUUUAUUUCUCUCUAGUGUGUUGACGUAAAAAUCUGUAAAAAUUCU